rnacentral:rRNA from 1 species
GACGAACGCUGGCGGCGUGCCUAAUACAUGCAAGUCGAACGCAGUGGGAGCGGGUGAGUAACACGUGGGUAACCUCCCAUCAGAGGGGAGAACACUUGGACACAGGUGCUAAACCCAUACUGAUGGAUGUACCCGCGGGGCAUUAGCUAGUGGGUGAGGGAACGGCUCACCAAGGCCACGAUGCAUAGCCGAUCUGAGAGGGUGAUCGGCCACACUGGGACUGAGACACGGACCAGACUCCUACGGGAGGCAGCAGUAGGGAAUCUUCGGCAAUGGACGAAAGUCUGACCGAGCAACGCCGCGUGAGUGAAGAAGGGUUUCGGAUCGUAAAGCUCUGUUGGCAGAGAAGCGGUAUCUAAACAGAAAGCCACGGCUAACUACGUGCCAGCAGCCGCGGUAAUAC